UACGGGGGGGGUAAGCGUUGUUCGGAAUUACUGGGCGUAAAGGGCUCGUAGGCGGCCAACUAAGUCAGACGUGAAAUCCCUCAGCUUAACUGGGGAACUGCGUCUGAUACUGGAUGGCUUGGAUUCGGGAGAGGAAUGCGGAAUUCCAGGUGUAGCGGUGAAAUGCGUAGAUAUCUGGAGGAACACCGGUGGCGAAGGCGAGUCCCUGGACAACACCUGACACUGAGGCACGAAAGCUAGGGGAGCAAACAGG
rnacentral:rRNA from 1 species